GGGGAAGCGGGGUCCGGGGAAGGGGGGAGGAGGGCCGCGCUCCCGCCGGUCGUCGCCCAGGGUUCGGUCUGCACCCUCGCGCCGGAUGACAUCUGUCCAGGCCGGGCGGCAGCAGGAUCCCGGCGGAAAGAGUGCGCGGUGAGCCGGCCUUGGCUCCGAAGGUCUCCGCGGGCCUCCAACUCCCUGACUGCCCGCGAGGAGAGAGCAGGAACUCCGCACCAGCUCAAGCGCUCCCGCCUUGACUCUGGGAGUGGCCCUCAGGUGCCCCCAAUGCGGCUGGGCGUUGGUACCCCCAGGGACCCAAGAAUCGUUGGUCUUUAAACGUCCCCCACCCUAGGUGAGCCCCAUCCCUGGACAGGCUGGGAAGCAGGGUCUACCCAGCACUGGCCAUCCUUGAGAGAGGGGCCCAGGGAACCCCGGCCCUCCUUCCAGUGAGGCUCGGCAGGGUGUGCAACAUCCCUGUGCCCGGGGUCACACUGAGGCCUCCUCACCUGGCCAGUGCCCACAGCCUUGGUGUCUGUGGAGGGUCUGAGGACCCCCCUCAAGCUGGCCCGACCCAAGUGGGCAGGAUGGUGGCAAAUCCCCAUGUGGUGGGAUUGCUCUUGGAACCCAGAAGCCCUUGGCUGCAAAGCCUGGCCCUUGUCAGGGGAGCCUGUGCUGGAAAUUCCAUCUUGAGAGCUUUUCUCCAAGAUGACAUGGGAGCUCAAGGAGUCAGGACAUCCUGGGGGAGCCGGGGCAGAGGUCCUCAGCAGACCAGGACCAGAAUGUCUCUGCCCCUGAGGCCCAAUCAAGUGUGAGCCCUUGGGGGAGGCUGGGAGGAAGUCAGAACCCACCCCUGAGCUCCCACACCCGCAGGACCCCCAGGAGCAGUCAGCCUCAGAGAAGUGACCAACCCCCAUCCCCACCGAGAGCUGGCUGCAGGGCCCCUGGAGACCUCUGACGCUGGCUAGGAGGAAAGGCAGCCAUGGGCUCUGACCUCCUGACUCAGUGGGAGAGGCCUGGGAAGCAGUCAUUACUCACUUGGGCAAGCCCUUUGUCCUGGGUCAGGUGGUGUCCUGGGGCAGAGCUGGAAGGAGCCACAGGAUCGGUCCUCCCUUGCCGCUCCCCUGCCCCAGUGGGUGAUGGAGCAGAGCCCUGCCUGGCCGCCUGUGGGCUGGGGUCACUGAGAGCAGGGAUCCAGCAGGAGCUGGGCGAGCUGCGGUGUGGGGGAGCUUACAGCUGCCUCCUGCAUUGAUCUGUCCUUCCUUCCUCCACCCUCACCUGGUCCGAGCCCAACACCCAUCACACUGCCCCCAGUCCCGGGGACCCUGCUGCCCCCCACCGCCAUCCCACAGACAGGGUUCUGCUGCCCUUGGAACCCAGCAGGGAGCACAGAGAAGGCUCUCAACUAAGGCUGGGCUGGGCCCCCUAGUGGGAAGGGUGUGGCACUGCAGAACAAAGGGGACUCAAUGAACGUCAAACCGGGAAAUUUGUGCAGACAGUGUCGAAGGGGAUAGAAACGACCAUCUGUCCACUUUCCCUGUGGUCAUGGUUCUGAGCACUCCACAACAGCCCUGCAAGGUAGGCGAGGAGCCAUUAUCAAGCCCCUUUGACAGAUGAGGAAACUGAGGCACAGAGAGGUGAAUUGGUUGUCUCCUGGCCCACCGACCACACCCCCUGCAGUGUCUUCUCCCACCAGCUGAGAGGCUCUGCACCUCCGAGCCUGGGAAGGGGAAGCCAGGAAGGUGGGUUUAUAAACGUAGAAGAAUCUUAGCGUGUUAAAUAAUUAUGAGGGCUUAGGGUCAGGAAAGCUUAGAAGGAGAAAAUUGGAACCAGAGGUUUGGGAAGCCACGAGGGCCAGAGCCAGGGCGUCCGGAGCCAGGGCGUCUGGUGCCGCGUCUGGGUGCCGGGCCGUGGGUGGAACAGCAGAGGGAGGAGGGCAGAGGGACACCAGGCACCCUGGGCGUGUCCCCCCGUCAGGACUGUGGGUCCUAGACUGCUGCCAAGGCAGUGGGUGUUCCCACUUCGGGGAUCUCUCCAACAGAAAUGAGGGCCUCGUCAAUAUCGAUAGAUGCUCGGGUUCUUCCUGUGGCUCUCUGUGGCCUCUCAAAUCUGGCAGCCGUCUGAAUGCCACUCAGGAGCGGCUGCUUACUCUGCCGUGGCAAUACCUCCUAUCAUAUAUUCACCUUGGAAUACAACUGGGCAGGAGCUGGAGCUGCAGGCCUUGCCCUGGAGACACUGUUGGGUUGGCAUCUGCAGCAGGAAGCGCACACCAGCACAGAGUGUCCGGUCUGGCCUGGUUGCCCGAAGGUAUCAGGAGGGUGUCAGCACAGAGCCGUGGCCCUGCUGCCAGAUGCGGGAAGGGGAGGCUGGCCCGCUACUCUUCAUGUCCCUGUAGCGUCUGAUUUGCUGUGAGGAACACAUGCUUUGUUCAUAGUUCCACAGCUCUGAAAGAGGGGGAAAGCGAUGCAGGUGCCCCUUCCUUUUUCAUGCCCCCCUGCAGCGAGUUUUGAUGGAUGCUACCCCUCAGGGGGGCCAGGAGGUCGUCAUUCACAUCUCUGAGCCUCAGCAGUGUUGUUGAUAAAAUGGGGGUGAUUAUUCCCACCGAGCUGGGACCUCGUGGGAAUGAAUGAGGCUGUGGAUGUGAGUGCCCAGCCCUGGGCCUGGCACACAGGAGGCCCCAGACGGAUGGAUGGACAGAAGGACGGAUGGAUGGAUGGAUGGUGCCCUUGCCCUUCUAUCCCACUUCCGAGGUCCAGGCACUGCCCAAGACCAUGCCCUUGCCAGCAGCUAAUGCCAACCCCAAGCCCUGACCCUGACCUGCAUGGGAAUCUGCCUUCAGGCCAGAGCACCUCCCCUGCUCACACUGCACUCCCAAGGACCUGUCAGUGCUCCUCGAGCAAGUGAAUAAAUGGAUGAAUAAAUGUGUCUGCCCUUCUCUUUCCCCAUCGGUCACCUCAGCCCCACCUUUCUGGUCUGGUUUGGCUGGUCCUGCUGGCUCUGUGGGUCCUAGACUCCUGUCCACCCUGGCUUAUCUAGUCUUGACCUCGGAGCCCACACACAGGGCAAGGGGAUGACCAGUGAGAGGGGAGUGAGCAGGAGAGGCAGCAUUCCCAAGAGUCAGUAGAGUGGCCCCAGUUUCCUGGGAGAGAGGCAGACCCACCAGCUCACUCAGUGCUCCCUUUGAGUGGAGUCCCCAGGAAGGCUGGUGGGGGCUGGGUGAGGGAGGCGGGUCCCCAGGAACCUGCUCCACCAACCCGGCCUUCUGGCUCCCUGGUUCCUCCUCUACCUGGGAGCAGGGUCUGAGUCUGCACAGCCCCCAGCCCUAAGGAGCCCACCAAAAGCCGCUUGGGCAGCCAGGGCAGACACACGGGGGUCCGUGGACUGGCAGCACCGCCACCCUACCAACAGCCACCUACACUGCCCCACGGUGCCCUGGCCUCCAGUAGCUUCUGGAAGAAUGGGUCCCGCGGCAUCAGCUCCUGCUCUCAGCUGUGUCCUUCUGGGUUCUCACCGUCAUGGGCCCCUUGUAAUACCAAGGGCCUUUCUGCCACCCGCCACCACCAGGGAAAACACCCACAGGUCCUGGGGCCUGCAGCACAGUCAGGACAGUGACCACAAUCCCUGUCACUCCGGGCGAGCUCACCUAGGGGGAGUGCUGGUGAAGGCUUCUGGUCCCCAUCCUACCCUACGCUCCAGCUGCCGAGCUCGUCCAGCAGAGAAAGGGACGGGCUCUCGGGCCUGUGCUAGACGCUCACUCCAGGACGCCCAAGGGAGACCGGAGGCUGUGUGCUGAGGCCCCAGUGUGUGCCAGGCCAUCGCCGUGACCCUUAAUCCUGUGACCUGGGCUUAUCCUGCUUGAUGCACGAGGAAGGAGGCUUAGGAUUAAACUAGCCACCAACCCCCGCACCCCGAGGACACACAGCCAGCAAGCCUUGGGGCCAGCCUGGACCCCAGCGCUGCCCCGGCCCCAGCCCAGCUCCUGGGCUGAGCCGACUGCAAGGUGACUGUGGAGCCAGGCUGGGGCAGGGCUGGAGCAGCAGCAGGUAUAAGACGGCAGCCUGGGUGCCCCCGUCUCCCUCCAGGAGAACAUGUGGCUGCUCUCUGGCUCCAGCUGGCUGCUGCCUUGAGCCUGGAGUAGGGUGAGUCCAGAGGUCUGGACCACCUCCUUCCUAGGUCCUCCCACACUGCUGUGCACCGUCCCUCCAAUCUAGGCCACCACUGAGCCCUAGGCUGUCACUCGCCACCUCAGGGGAGCGCGCUUCCCGGCCCCGUCCCCCUCACAUGGCCACUAGCCCCUCUUCAUCUGCCAGCUCCUACCCGCUGCUUGUGGACACCACUCACAGUUCUCCCCCUACCUGAACCCCCUUCCUGGACCUGCAGGCCCAUCAGCUAAGCCCUCAUGCUGUCCUUGUCCUCGUAAGGGCUGCCCACUUCUGAGUGCCCUGCCCCCGGCUUGGCACCUGCCUCCCGCCAACCCCACAGGCCUCUCCAAUACCACAGUGACCCUCCCACCCACUGAGUGAUGGUCCUCCUCCAGCUCGGCCUGGCCUGAUCCCCCAGGUGCACCUGUUUCCUGGGCCCACCCUCUUCCAGCCCCCUCCUACCUCUUUGGGGUGGGGUGGGGGCAUCCCUGCCUCUCCUCUGUCACACACGCCAGCUCCAGGCCCUUCAGCCCAGAUGCCUGCUCGAGGGCUCCUCUGUGACACCCCCCCUCAAACAGGGCUGCCACCCCCGGGGCUCCCCUAUCUUCCCACAGAGACCUGAGUUGGGAUGGCAUCUCCACCCAUCCAGAUGCCUGAACAAAACCAGCUGACCAGCUGCCCCCCAUCCAAGCCCAAGCGGCCCCUGCUUCCCCGGCCCUCACCUGGCAAGGCCUCUGUUUCCCCAUCCAGGUCGGUGCCCACCUCGCCAGCUGCGUGGCCCUCCGUGAGAUGGCCCCUGACACAGGCCCAGAGCUCCUCCUCCCAGCAUCUUGGACCUGCCCAGUGUCCCCACCCACAGGGAGCCCCCUCCUUGCCUGGGCCCUGUGGGGGGCCCCCUGUCCUGCGGGAAAGGACUGUGAGGCUUGGGGCCCAGGGUCCAACACUGACUUCUGAGAAAUGCCCGUGGGUCAUUGGGGGAGGGACGGACAACAGGGGUGGGGCCCUCUGAGAAAGCCUUUGUCACAGCCAGGGCUGGGUCACAGUGGUCGGGCGGCCACCGAAGGGAGUGGCCACCCAUCGGCCUCUCCUCCCCUGUCUCAGCCCAGAGCCAGUGGGUCACAAGAGCCCCGCCCUGUGCUAAGUGUCCACUGAGUCAUCUCUGACCCAGAGGCCCCUCCCUGCCUGAGUGGCCCUCUUCUGAAAUCCUACCUGCCACCACGGGAACAGGCCUGGGGUCACUGCUCUGUCACUUGAAGAAGGGGGGGUCAGAGCCCUGUGACCCUCGCUCAGGAAGCCCCAUGUGUCUCAUCAUUGCUGGUGUCAUCUCCCCUCCGCCCAUGGGCAGCACGACGUCCCCCAGGCCUCACACCAGCCCUGCUUCAGUGUGAACACAGUCGGGAGUGGGAGGUGACCCGCCUGGCUGCGCAGUGAGCCAUGCAGGACGGGAACCUGGUCUGCGGCACCCAAGGUCCAUCGUUUCUCCGCCGUCCUGCCUCCCUCCCCUUCUUCCUUCUUUCCUUCCUCCAUCUCAGAGCUUGCUCACUGUGUGCUGGGCCACUCUGAGCGCCGCCCCGUGUCGUCCAGCGCCACUCCGUCCAGCAGCCCAUUUCCUGUUUGGAGCUAAAAUCUCCUCCUUCUCCCUCCCUGCCUCAUUGCUGAAAACCCAAAACCCCUGACAAGGGAUAGAUUGUUCUUUUUCUUGACAACCCAGCCCCCAGCCCCCAGAAUUCAUUGCUUCCUUCCUCCCUCCCACCGUCCUGUCAAAUGAAUAAAAGAAACCUCACCUAAACUGGAGUCUGGAAGGCCUGUAGGGGAGCUCUCACCCCCAUCACACAUCGUCAAUUACACUGACCUGGAAGAGACUGACUUGCACCUCCCACAGGAAGGUGUUUAGACUUUGCUCCCCAGUAGGAGGAUUUCUCUCCCUGCCCAGCAACAACCCAGCCAGUGAGAGGCUGUAGCAACUCGACCAAUAAGAAGCCUCUAUACUUUGGACUCCUGGUUUCCUCCAAUGGACUUUUUCUUGCAGCCCUGCCCUACUCCCCCCUUUUCCCUAUGAAAGCAAGCCCC
rnacentral:lncRNA from 1 species